AUCCACCCUGAGCACUCCCAAUCUCAUCUGAUCUUGGAAGCUAAGCAGGUCAGGACUGGUUACUACUUGAAUGGGAGAUUUGGGAUUUUACAGUUAAAAAGAAUU
rnacentral:rRNA from 1 species